rnacentral:rRNA from 1 species
GAUGAACGCUGGCGGCGUGCCUAAUACAUGCAAGUCGAGCGAACGGACGAGAAGCUUGCUUCUCUGAUGUUAGCGGCGGACGGGUGAGUAACACGUGGAUAACCUACCUAUAAGACUGGGAUAACUUCGGGAAACCGGAGCUAAUACCGGAUAAUAUUUUGAACCGCAUGGUUCAAAAGUGAAAGACGGUCUUGCUGUCACUUAUAGAUGGAUCCGCGCUGCAUUAGCUAGUUGGUAAGGUAACGGCUUACCAAGGCAACGAUGCAUAGCCGACCUGGGAGGGUGAUCGGCCACACUGGAACUGAGACACGGUCCAGACUCCUACGGGAGGCAGCAGUAGGGAAUCUUCCGCAAUGGGCGAAAGCCUGACGGAGCAACGCCGCGUGAGUGAUGAAGGUCUUCGGAUCGUAAAACUCUGUUAUUAGGGAAGAACAUAUGUGUAAGUAACUGUGCACAUCUUGACGGUACCUAACCAGAAAGCCACGGCUAACUACGUG